rnacentral:lncRNA from 10 species
CAAAUUCAGCAUUUGUUUGUCUGAAGAAGACUGUAUCUUUCCUUCAUUUAUGAAGCUUAAUUUUGUUGGAUACAAAAUUCUUGGCUGAUAAUUGCUUUGUUUAAGGAAGCUAAAGAUAGGACCCCAAUCCCUUUUAGCUUGUAGGGUUUCGGCUGAGAAAUCUGCUAUUAAUCUGAUAGGUUAUCUUUUAUAGGUUACCUGAUGCUUUUGCCGCAUAGCUCUUAAGAGUCUUUCCUUUUUCUUGACUUUAGAUAACCUGAUGACUAUGUGCCUAGGCAAUGAUCUUUUUGUGAUGAAUUUCCCAGGUGUUCUUUGAACUUCUUGUAUGUGGAUGUCUAGAUCUCUAGCAGAGCUGAGGAAGUUUUCUUCAAUUAUUCCCUCAAAUAUGUUUUCCAAACUUUUAGAUUUAUCUUCUUCCUCAGGAACACCAAUUAUUCUUAGGUUUGGUCAUUUAACAUAAUCCCAAACUUCUUGGAGGCUUUGAUCAUUUUAAAAAAUUCUUUCUUCUUUGUCUUUGUCAGAUUGGGCUAAUUUGAAAGCCUUGUCUUUGAGCUGGGAAGUUUCUUUCUUCCAUUUGUUCAAUUCUAUUGCUGAGACCUUCCAAUGCAUUUUGCAUUUUGCAUUUCUCUAAGUGUGUUCUUCAUUUCUAGAAGUUGUGCUUUUUGUUUUGUUUUUGUUUCGUUUUGAGAUGGAGAUUCACUCUUGUCGCCCAGGCUGGACUGGAAUGGCGCAAUCUUGGCUACCUGCAACCUCUGCCUCCUGGGUUCAAGCGAAUCUCCUAUCUCAGCCUCCCGAGUAGCUGGGAUUACAGGCGUCUGCCACCACAGCUGGUUAAUUUUUCUAUUUUUAGUAGAGACAGGGUUCACCACGUUGGGCAGGCUGGUUUUGAACUCCUGACCUCAGGUGAUCCACCUGCCUGAGCCUCCCAAACUGCUGGGAUUGCAGGCGUGAGCCACUGCUCCCGGCCGUGAUUGUUUUUUACUUAUGCUAUUUCACUGGAGAUUUUUCCAUUCAUAUCCUAUAUCUUUUUUUUUUUUUUCUUUGAAAAGGAGUCUUGCUCUGUCACCCAGGCUGGAGUGCAGUGCCACAAUCUCGGCUCACUGCAACCUCUGCCUCCCUAGGUUCAAGCAAUUCUGCUUCAGCCUCCCCAGUAGCUGGGAUUAUAGGCGCCCACCACCAUGCCUAGCUAAUUUUUGUAUUUUUAGUAGAGACAGGGUUUUGCCACGUUGGCCAGGCUGGUCUCGAACUCCUGACCUCAAGUGAUCCACCUGCUUCGGCCUCCCAAAGUGUUGGGGUUAUAGGUGUGAGCCGCUACACCUGGCCCUAUAUCAUUUUUUUUAUUUCUUUAAGUUAGACUUUACCUUUCUCUGGUGCCUCCUUGAUUGACUUAAUAGUUGACCUUCUGAAUUCUUUUUUCCUGCAGUUUAGAGAUUUUGUCUUGGUUUGGAUCCACUGUUGGUGAGCUAGUGUGAUCUUUUGGGGUGUUAAAGAACCUUGUUUUGUCAUAUUACCAGAAUUGCUUUUCUGGUUCCUUCUCAUUUGGGUAGAGAAUGUGAGGGAAGAUCUGGGACUCAAGGGCUGCUGUUCAGAUUCUUUUGUCCCACAGGAUGCUCCUUUGAUGUGGUGCUCUCCCCUUUUCCCUAGGGAUGGCAUGUCUUGAGAGCCAAACUGCAGUGAUUGUUAUUUCUCUUCUGGAUCUAGUCACCCAGCAGGGCUACCAAGCUCUGGGCUGGUACUGGGGAGUGUCUGCAAAGAGUCCUGAGAUGUGAUUCAUCUUCAGGUCUUUCAGCCAUGGAUACCAGCACCUGCUCAAGUGGAGGUAGCAGGAGAGUGAAGUGGACCCUGUGAGGGUCCUUGGUUGUAUUUUUGUUAAGUGUACUACUGGUUUUGUGUUCGUUGGCCUCCAGCCAGGAGGUGGCGCUUUCAAGAGUGCAUCAGCUGUGGUAUUAUAGGGAAAAUCACACUGUGGGCGGGGCCAUAGAGCUCCCAAGAGAUUAUGUCCUUUUUUUUGGAGUUCUUCUGCUGUCCCGCAGAGCCUACAGCAGCAAUCCAUCUCCUUCUGUCUGCUCAAUUCUCUUGGCUUUCCUGGUAUAUUCCUGCAGUAGUUCUUGGAGCAAAAGUUCACAAUGUGGGUUUCCACACGCUGCUCUGUCCAUCUGAGUGGGAACUGCAAAUUAGUCCUGCCUCCUAUCUACCAUCUUCCCUCCAGUAUACCCCCUGCUGCUAGUAUUUUUAAACAAACCAUGCCACUCUCUUCUUUAAAACACCUGUGAGAGUUUGCACUUGCUAACACAAUAAAGUCCAGGACCUUUGGCAUUUUCUAUGUUAUAUUUUCCUUCCCAGUUCAUGUCCUGCCAUCCUCUCCGAAGCACCCUGUGUCAAUCACACCUACUCGCUUGUUCUUCACACAUAGAGGUCCUCUCUCUCUCCAUGUAUCUGCUCAGGGUAUCAUUUCCUCUCUUUGGCACCCUGGAGUCUUCAUUUAAAUCCCAGACUGAAUAUAACACCUCCUGUGAAACCUUGAGGGAUUGCCCUAACAUUUGUCCCUCCUACCCCAACUCUGUGAUCUGAAAUCUGUCUUACUACAUGAGUUUUAUAAUACUGUUUACCCAAUUUGUCUCUAGACUGUAAGAUUCUCAAGAGGAAGGACCUGUUUCUCUUUGGAUACCCAGCUUGACAAUGAAUGCAUUUGUUCACGGAGGAAGAUAGUUUGAGCUUAAUGGGAGGUUUAGCUUCAGAUAAGGUUAUAGGGAAAACAGGAUAUUUCCUCUUCUCUUUAUACUCAGAAAGUUCAGGUUCCCCGUGUAGAAAGAAGAAUGUAGCAGAUUGCUAAGCUACAUGAAAAUGUGUUUGCUCACAUUUUAAAUGGUGUAAAAUAUAAAUUAACAUCAUCAUUAGAAGGCUGGCCUUAAAAAGUCACAUGGUCUCUAGGAAGUCAAUAAGUAAAGAACAGAGCAGCUUUUGUGGGCAAGACUAUACUUUGCCAAGUGAACUAAUUAGCUGUAUGGUCACCAGUGAAUUACUUUAUCCCAGACCUUGUGUGUUUUUGAUUUCUCAGACCUCACGGGGAUGAAGGGCCUUGGUUUUAAAGAGCUCGGACUAAAUGAUCCAAAGAUUUCUUUUUGUUACUAAAAUUAGUUCUACUUUAAUUCUUAAGGUCUGUAGAAAUUAAAAUGGAAAUAAUUUAUAUUUGAAGUAGAAAUACCUAUUCACUCUUCAUGUGCUGGUGUAGUAUUGGAAAUCAGUCUGCUAAACCGAUUCAUACUUCAGUGAUAGAAGAUGCCACCCUGAGUUACUUUCCCCAGUAGCCAGAUGGAACCAGUAAGGAAUAUCAUAUCCUAAAAGAACAAAUCCAUGUUUAAAGACUGGGAGGAAGAUCUUUUUGGGUUGGAGUAAGGAAAGUUUUGCACCAAGGCUAAGCUUGUUGCCUUGUGCAUUCUGCUUUGUGCUCAUAUUCGAGUUUUGAGGCAAAAACACACACCUAGCAGUUUGGGACAUGAGGCCUCCAUAUCACCUAGUUUUUCCAACCCAACAAACCCUCAAGUUUCUCCCGAGAGAAAGAAUAUACCAUUGUAUAAGUUUCCUAUUGCUGCUGUAACAAGUUACCACAAACAUUAAAAAACAUAUCUUACAGUUCUGGAACUCAAGUCCUAAAAUCAAGCUAUUGCUGGAGCCACAUUCCUCUUGGAGGCUGUAGGGGAGAAUCUGUUUCCUUGCAUUUACCAGCUUGCAGAGGCUGCCUGCGUUCCGUCACUUGUGGCAUCUUCCUCCAUUUUCUAGCCAAUUGUGGAGGAUCUUUAAAUCUCUUUACUAAAGACCCUGGUGAUUACUUUGUGUCCACCUGGAUAAUCCAGGAUAAUCCCCCAACUCAAAAAUGCUUCAUUUAGUCACAUCUGCACAGUCCCUUUUGCCAUGUAAAAUUUAUAACUUCAGGGGAUUAGGAUAUGGACAUAUCUGGGGAGCUGCUAUUCAGCCUACCAUGACUAUAAAUAUCAUUAACCUAAUUAAAAUGGCCUAAAUUAGCUGGCUGUGGUGGCUCACCUAUAAUCCCAGGACUUUGGGAGGCCAAGAUGGGAGGAUCGCUUGAGCUCAAGAGUUCAAGACCGACCAGCCUGGUCAACAGAGUGAGACCCCAUCUACACACACACACACAAAAAUUAGCUGGGUGUGGUGGCCCACAGCUGUAGUCCUAGCUAAUUGGGAGGCUAAGGCAAGAGAAUCACCUGAGUUCAGGAGAUGGAAGCUGCAGUGAGUUGUGAUCAGGCCACUUCACUCCACCCUGGGUGACAGAGCAAGACCCUAUCUCAAAAAGAAAAAAAAAGAAAGCCUAGAUAGACUUUAGUUUGUAUUAAUUAUAGCUUGGCUAUACAAUGAGUCCCAAAUUAGGACAUAUAUUAAACGUCCAUUGAUUUUUAAUUACUAAAGCAGUGGUUCUCAAACUUUAAUGUGUAUCAAAAUCACCUGGAAAACUAAAGUGAUUUCUGGGCCCCAUCCCCAUAGCUUCUGACUCAAAAUAUUUAGAUCUGGGUCAAGGCUCAAGAAUUUGCAUUUCUAACAG